ACAUGUUAAUAUAAAGAUUGCAAGGCGAAGUUAAAGUAAUUUUAUUAGUAGAAAAAAAUCAUAUUUCAAUUUUUGGAAAACUACAUUAGCGUUAACGAAUGUUAUUUUGGAAUUCUUAUAUUUGUAUUUUGUGCGUUCCUGCUCCCGUGAUGAAUGAUCCGUUCACUGUGCAACGGUCGCUUGCUUAGCGGCUUGCCUGUACAACGCUUUUUUGCUCGUUAUUAGCGUGAUGUGUGCCACAGGCGUUGGUUUUAUAAUCGAAAGGAUUUGUCUGUAAGUUACGACAGUGCGACAGUACAAUGAGCGCCAGCGGCCGGGCGGGCGGGUGUUAUAGGAUUACAGCUGGACUACAACUGUGGAUACCGCUUUAUCAAACCUUAAGCUGCUUGGGCUCAAAGGAAAAUGUCGAUCCAUCGUGUGCUAUUAAGAACAUCUCACAUACUUUGUUGAAUGAUUCAAGAUGUCCACAAGGUAGCCGAGCAAGGGACCCAUCAGCCAUGAAAUAUUAUCUAUUCCAUGUAACUCUGUAGUUCCUCUACUGCUUUUGUUUAAUUACAUUAUAGUUACGCUACAUGUACAUUAGAAUAUGUGCAAUGUUUGAUUACAAAUAAAAUGUAAUUUUGCAUUGCAGUUCUUUGGAUCUGUCGUUGCUGGGAACAGCGAUCCUGCAAAGUGGCACUGGUUGCCUACCAGCUAGCCUCUGUCCGAGCAGGCCACUUCACCGGUACUUGAAGCUGCUGCCGGCUAAAAGAAGCUGAGCAAGCUCCGUGCGCAUAUGCCCACUGAUGUAACCUGGAGAGAUGGUCACUUCUGUGCACACCAUCCUUCCUGGCCAAGUCGUGUGGAAAGGCAUCCAAGACACCCUUUGCCUUGGAUCACUUUCUGCAAGAAGAUCCAGGAGGGGGCAUCUCUUUUGCAUGGUUUCUCGUGACGCUGAGAGUAUACUGUGGAUCAGCCCUGCAGGGGCAGCAAGCUGAAGAACGAAGCCAGAACCUAUGAAGAAGUUCUGGGGAUUAUGUUGAAAACAGCACAAGUGUAAGGGAACGUUUUACUUGGUAACCAGAUACACUUAAUAUACUUUGCAACUCUAAGAUGUUCUUUUGAUCGCUGCAGAUUCAACAGAUGUCACAGA